GAGAAAAAGAGGAGGGAGGAGGGAAGAGAGAGCCAGAACCAGGGAGAGAGAGAGAUAGUCUCGAGAAGGGAGAGAAAAAGAGGGGAGGAAGAGAGGAAGAGAGCUCUUUUUAGAGAGAGGAAAAUAGAGCUGAUAGCCACAAGGAAUCCAUAAUAACCUGCAACUUGAGCUGUGAAGGGGCUGCCUUGUUUUUCUAAUCUUCCAGAAGCUCUUGGAAAUCUUUCAAGUGGAGCAUGGUGAAAAUAAGCCGGAUAUUUCCCCACGACAUGGUCCAGAAGUUGGAAAAGACCCGAGGUCCCCCUCACCGUGUUGUACCCCUAGGCUCAAACAAAGGUUAUGUGUCAGACUUCAAGAUCCAGGAGGACAUCACUGAAAGACCAGACUUGGUCCAGGGGAAGAAGAAGGGCCUGUUCCAACAAAUGAAAGCAUUUUUAUGCAGAGGUCACCGUGUUGAACCCUUGAAGAUUAAAACCAUAAAAGUGGAGGAAGUCAUUCCUGUAAAUAAGCCAAAGGAGGAAGGGGAACCGUCAUGGGUAAAAAAUCUAAGUUUUGCGGUUCCUCCUCUGACUCUGGCAGUACCUCGCUUAAUGCUACAACCUUGUCCACCUGUGUAUCUCCAUGACAUACGGGAAGGCGCCAGAGUCUUUUCCAGCAGUGCUCCCACCAGGAUUCUCCAUCCUGCCUUGGGCAGAGAAAACAAGGAUUUGUAUCAGAACAUCCCCAAACUCUACAUGCAAAGCCCCCAAGAUGGAGGGUAUGGAGACAAAGGACCCUACUGGGGAUUCGUAAAAGGGUUGGCUUGUGGAGGAUUUUCCGAGGAAGUAAUUGAGUAGCUCAAUGAAAAUCAAAGGUGUAAUAAUAACCAUUACUAGGAUAAAAGGCCAGGAGUCUAAAGAACCUUGAGAGAGAGAGUGAGAAAGAGAGCUCUGGUGGCCUCAAAGAACCCACCAUAACCUAGAAGUUGACCAGCUAAGGGGCUGCCUAGUUUUUCUCAUCUUCAAGAAGCUGUUAGUGGAAAUCUUUCAAGUGCAGCAUGAUGAAAACAACCAGGAUAUUUCCCCACGUUCUUCCAACAGUGAGAUGAUUGAAGCCAGUUUCAAUGAUCUUGUGACGAAGAGAGCCAUCUACACGCAAAAAGAAGACUGUGGGAGCUGAGUGUGAUUCACAAUAUAAUAUUUUUACUCUUGUUUUUUUCUUGUAUUUUAUUUUUUCCCUUAUUCUCGAUUUUUCUUGGGCAAGAUAAUUAUAUAAAUAUGUUAUGUAUAAGGGUUGAAGGAGGAGGAGUCAGGCACAAUGCAACAGGAAGUAAACAAGCAAUAAAGUUUGAGUGGGUCUGCUGUGAACUAGUAGGGACCGCCUCAUGGGCAGAAACUCUGGUUGCUUUGAAAUCCACAUCAUUUAUAGGAGGUAUCUUCUUCUCUAAUUGGUUGUGCGUAUGACCUCAUAGAUCUGUGGGAGGAGGAAGCAGGUUCUCUUUAACCUGGAGUUCCCUAGAAGUCAGCUGGAGGUCAGCUAGGCAGGAUGCGAACAUGUGAAUAAAAGAUCUUGAACUUUGCA